GGGGGAAUUUUGGACAAUGGGGGCAACCCUGAUCCAGCCAUGCCGCGUGAGUGAAGAAGGCCUUCGGGUUGUAAAGCUCUUUCGGCCGGGAAGAAAUCGCUCAAGCUAAUACCUUGGGUGGAUGACGGUACCGGAAGAAGAAGCACCGGCUAACUACGUGCCAGCAGCCGCGGUAAUACGUAGGGUGCGAGCGUUAAAUCGGAAUUACUGGGCGUAAAGCGUGCGCAGGCGGUUUCGUAAGACAGAUGUGAAAUCCCCGGGCUUAACCCUGGGAACUGCGUUUGUGACUGCGAGACUUGAGUGCGGCAGAGGGGGGUGGGAUUCCGACGUGUAGCAGUGAAAUGCGUAGAGAUGUGGAGGAACACCGAUGGCGAAGGCAGCCCCCCUGGGUCGACACUGACGCUCAUGCACGAAAGCGUGGGGAGCAAACAGGAUUAGAGACCCGUGUAG
rnacentral:rRNA from 1 species